CACACACUGGAAUCUCUGUGUAUCAUUUUCCAGCCCUCAGAUGAGCAACUGGAAAUAAAAGCAUGGCUCUACAUCAGCAUGCUGGCAACUUGUUUUAGCUAAUGAAGCAACAGUAAAACUCAAGGAUGUUCCAAAAGAUUAAGCAGGCAUCUUUAGGCAUGAGACCCAGGUCACCUCCAUCCUGUGCACACACAUCAGAGGGAUCCAAAAAGAGAAGAGAGCACAGGCUGCUAUCUCA
rnacentral:lncRNA from 1 species